rnacentral:rRNA from 1 species
GUUAAAAAGCUCGUAGUUGGAUUUCUGUCGGUGAAUAUCAGUCCGCCCACAGCGGUAGGUACGUGAUAUUUCACCGGCAUCUUCCUGGGGAAUGUGUCUGCUCUUUAUUGAGUGGUACAUAAGCCAGGACUUUUACUUUGAAGAAAUGAGAGUGUUUCAAGCAGGCAUGCGCCGUGAAUACGUUAGCAUGGGAUAAUAGCAUCGGACCUCGUUCCAAAGCUGUUGGCUUCUUGGACCGAGGUAAAGGUGAAUAGGGAUUGUUGGGGGCAUUCGUAUUUGACUGUCAGAGGUGAAAUUCUUGGAUUUGUUGAAGACGGACUACUGCGAAAGCAUCUGCCAAAGAUGUUCUCAUUGAUCAAGAACGAAAGUUAGGUGAUCGAAGACGAUCAGAUACCGUCCUAGUCUUAACCAUAAACUAUGCCGACUGGAGAUCGGGGGUCGUUAAUUAUGUGACGCCCUCUGCAUCUUGAGAGAAAUCAAAGUCUUUGGGUUCCGGGGGGAGUAUGGUCGCAAGGCUGAAACUUAAAGGAAUUGACGGAAGGGCACCACCAGGAGUGGAGCCUGCGGCUUAAUUUGACUCAACACGGGGAAACUUACCAGGUCCAGACAUAGUAAGGAUUGACAGACUGAUAGCUCUUUCGAGAUUCUAUGGGUGGUGGUGCAUGGCCGUUCUUAGUUGGUGGAGUGAUUUGUCUGGUUAAUUCCGU